rnacentral:ncRNA from 1 species
CAAAGGCUUGGUCCUGACUUUAUUGUCAACUGUAGCUAAACUUACACAUGCAAGUAUCCGCACCCCUGUGAGAAUGCCCCACAGCUCCCUUCUGGGAGCGAGGAGCUGGUAUCAGGCACAUUCUUACUGAAUAGCCCACGACGCCUUGCUUAGCCACACCCUCAAGGGAUUUCAGCAGUGAUAAACAUUAAGCCAUAAGUGAAAACUUGACUUAGUUAAGGCUAAGAGGGUCGGUAAAACUCGUGCCAGCCACCGCGGUUAUACGAGAGGCCCAAGCUGACAAUCGCCGGCGUAAAGAGUGGUUAAAUUAACCUUAUACUAAAGCCGAACGCCCCCAAAGCUGUAUUACGCAUUCGGGGGCAUGAAGCCCACCCACGAAAGUGGCUUUACAACCUUUGAACCCACGAGAGCUAGGGAACAAACUGGGAUUAGAUACCCCACUAUGCCUAGCCUUAAACUUAGAUAGACCCAUACCUAUUCUAUCCGCCCGGGUACUACGAGCACUAGCUUAAAACCCAAAGGACUUGGCGGCGCUUCACACCCACCUAGAGGAGCCUGUUCUAGAACCGAUAACCCCCGCUUAACCUCACCCUCUCUUGUUCUUUCCAGCCUAUAUACCGCCGUCGUCAGCCCACCCUAUGAAGGCCCAGUAGUGAGCAGAAAUGGCACAGCCCAAAACGUCAGGUCAAGGUGUAGCGUAUGAGAGGGGAAGAAAUGGGCUACAAUUGCUUUUACAGCUAAAACGAAUUGUACCGCUGAAAACGCACACAUGAAGGAGGAUUUAGAAGUAAGGGGCAAGCAGAGUGUCCCCCUGAAAUGGUUCUGAAGCGUGCACACACCGCCCGUCACUCUCCCCAAGUUAAAAAUUUAAGUAACUAAGCACCCGCACCAACAGCAGGGGAGGCAAGUCGUAACAUGGUAAGUGUACCGGAAGGUGUACUUGGAAAAAU